rnacentral:rRNA from 1 species
UACGUAGGAUGCAAGCGUUGUCCGGAAUUAUUGGGCGUAAAGAGCGCGCAGGCGGUCUAUCAAGUCAGAUGUGAAAUCUCCCGGCUUAACCGGGAGGGGUCAUUUGAAACUGGUAGACUAGAGUACAGCAGAGGAUAGCGGAAUUCCCGGUGUAGUGGUGAAAUGCGUAGAUAUCGGGAGGAACACCAGUGGCGAAGGCGGCUAUCUGGGCUGAAACUGACGCUGAGGCGCGAAGGCUAGGGGAGCAAACAGG